GAAAUGCGAUACGUAGUGUGAAUUGCAGAAUUCAGUGAAUCAUCGAAUCUUUGAACGCACAUUGCGCCCUUUGGUAUUCCAAAGGGCAUGCCUGUUCGAGCGUCAUUUGUACCCUCAAGCUUUGCUUGGUGUUGGGCGUUUUUUGUCUUUGGCUCGCCCAAAGACUCGCCUUAAAACGAUUGGCAGCCGGCCUACUGGUUUCGCAGCGCAGCACAUUUUUGCGCUUGCAAUCAGCAAAAGAGGACGGCAAUCCCUCAAGACUCCUUCUCACGUUUGACCUCGGAUCAGGUAGGGAUACCCGCUGAACUUAAGC
rnacentral:misc_RNA from 1 species